rnacentral:rRNA from 1 species
GAUGAACGCUGGCGGCGUGCCUAACACAUGCAAGUCGAGCGAACAGAUGAGGAGCUUGCUCCUCUGACGUUAGCGGCGGACGGGUGAGUAACACGUGGAUAACCUACCUAUAAGACUGGGAUAACUUCGGGAAACCGGAGCUAAUACCGGAUAAUAUAUUGAACCGCAUGGUUCAAUAGUGAAAGACGGUUUUGCUGUCACUUAUAGAUGGAUCCGCGCCGCAUUAGCUAGUUGGUAAGGUAACGGCUUACCAAGGCAACGAUGCGUAGCCGACCUGAGAGGGGGAUCGGCCACACUGGAACUGAGACACGGUCCAGACUCCUACGGGAGGCAGCAGUAGGGAAUUUGCAGCAAUGGGCGAAAGCCUGACGGAGCAACGCCGCGUGAGUGAUGAAGGUCUUCGGAUCGUAAAACUCUGUUAUUAGGGAAGAACAAAUGUGUAAGUAACUAUGCACGUCUGGACGGUACAUAAUCAGAAAGCCACGGCUAACUACGU